rnacentral:rRNA from 1 species
AGCCUGAUCCAGCCAUGCCGCGUGCAGGAUGACGGUCCUAUGGAUUGUAAACUGCUUUUGCACAGGAAGAAACAACAUUACGUGUAAUGUCUUGACGGUACUGUGAGAAUAAGGAUCGGCUAACUCCGUGCCAGCAGCCGCGGUAAUACGGAGGAUCCAAGCGUUAUCCGGAAUCAUUGGGUUUAAAGGGUCCGUAGGCGGUUUAGUAAGUCAGUGGUGAAAGCCCAUCGCUCAACGGUGGAACGGCCAUUGAUACUGCUAGACUUGAAUUAUUAGGAAGUAACUAGAAUAUGUAGUGUAGCGGUGAAAUGCUUAGAGAUUACAUGGAAUACCAAUUGCGAAGGCAGGUUACUACUAAUGGAUUGACGCUGAUGGACGAAAGCGUGGGUAGCGAACAGGAUUAGAUACCCUGGUAGUCCACGCCGUAAACGAUGGAUACUAGCUGUUGGGAGCGAUUUCAGUGGCUAAGCGAAAGUGAUAAGUAUCCCACCUGGGGAGUACGUUCGCAAGAAUGAAACUCAAAGGAAUUGACGGGGGCCCGCACAAGCGGUGGAGCAUGUGGUUUAAUUCGAUGAUACGCGAGGAACCUUACCAAGGCUUAAAUGUAGAUUGACCGGUUUGGAAACAGACUUUUC